rnacentral:rRNA from 1 species
UACGUAGGGGGCAAGCGUUGUCCGGAAUUAUUGGGCGUAAAGAGCGCGUAGGCGGUCCGAUAAGUCGGCUGUGAAAGUCAGGGGCUCAACCCUUGAAAGCCGGCCGAUACUGUCGGACUAGAGUCCGGAAGAGGCAAGUGGAAUUCCCGGUGUAGCGGUGAAAUGCGCAGAUAUCGGGAGGAACACCAAUGGCGAAGGCAGCUUGCUGGGACGGAACUGACGCUGAGGCGCGAAAGCGUGGGGAGCAAACAGG